UUGCUUCAGUAGCACAUAUAUUAAAACUGGAAUGAUACAGAGAAGGUUAGCAUGCCCCCUGCACAAAGACGACAUGCAAAUUCAUGAAGCAUUUUACAUACAC
rnacentral:snRNA from 1 species